rnacentral:tRNA from 1 species
UGGGGGGUCGUCUAAUGGCAGGACGCCUGGUUCUGGUCCAGGUAAUCGGGGUUCGAGUCCCUGCCCCCCAG